rnacentral:tRNA from 1 species
GCCUCCGUGGCGCAAUCGGCUAGCGAGUUCGGCUGUUAACCGAAAGGUUGGUGGUUCGAGCCCACCUGGGGGCG